AUUGAACGCUGGCGGAAUGCUUUACACAUGCAAGUCGAACGGCAGCACGGGGGCAACCCUGGUGGCGAGUGGCGAACGGGUGAGUAAUACAUCGGAACGUGCCCAGUCGUGGGGGAUAACGUAGCGAAAGCUACGCUAAUACCGCAUACGAACUCUGGUUGAAAGCGGGGGAUCGCAAGACCUCGCGCGAUUGGAGCGGCCGAUGGCAGAUUAGGUAGUUGGUGGGGUAAAGGCUCACCAAGCCGACGAUCUGUAGCUGGUCUGAGAGGACGACCAGCCACACUGGGACUGAGACACGGCCCAGACUCCUACGGGAGGCAGCAGUGGGGAAUUUUGGACAAUGGGCGAAAGCCUGAUCCAGCCAUUCCGCGUGCAGGAUGAAGGCCCUCGGGUUGUAAACUGCCUUUGUACGGAACGAAACGGCUCCGGCUAAUACCUGGAGCUAAUGACGGUACCGUAAGAAUAAGCACCGGCUAACUACGUGCCAGCCGCCGCGGUAACAC
rnacentral:rRNA from 1 species